AUGUUUAGUUCGCCCCGGGCCCCCGAAAUCUCAGUACCGACCCUGUGCUCCAGGAGCUCGCGCGGCCGUGCUGAAGGUGGAGACGGCCAACAGGUUGACGGCGGCGACCAAGACGACGAGGAGGAGGAUAGGAGCACCCUCGCCGGCGUGCUCCGUCCGAAGGACACGGUGGUGGAGCGCGCACUCGGGGACGCGCCCUACACGGAGCUCACUCGCCUCGCCGCGGACUACCUCCGCAGCACACACAACGCGUCGCUGCACUGCCUCUUACUCCGUCGGGCGCCGCGCCGCGCACGGGCGCUCUAUGGGCCCAUCACGGAUGUUCUCGCGCUGAUCCCUCUCGCCAUGCCUCUCGCCGUGCCGCACUGCGACUGUGCGUUUGAUGCCUUCCUCCAGUUCGACAAAAUACCCAACCCGUUCCUGCCCCCCGAAGCGAGCUUCCUGGGCAUGCAUCGGAGCUUUGCUGGCCUCAAAACCCAUCUCGACCUCCGCCUCCUCAAGGCCCGACGGAUUGCGGUGCCGUCACGUGGUUCCUGCUGCUCAACCCCCGCUUGGAUGAAACGCCUGCAGCAACACAUGGACCGGCUUGACGGCGCGGCCAGGGGCGCCUAUGUGCUCAACAAUGACGUGGACACCAUUGAACGGUUGGUGGGCUGGCUCCACGCCACUAUCGAGGGUGACAAGAUCUUGGUAAGGCUAGGGCUUGAGCGCGGGAGGGGGCAGCACCACACCAUCGAAGAGGUGGUGCGGCAGCUCCGGAAGAACCAUCCUAGCCUGCUAUGCCAGCUCGCUGACCUUGAGGAGCACAUCUGUCUCUACUUUGCAGUCGUUAACCGUGCAAGGCUGUUCAUUGUACACCACCUCAAUGCCCACUAG
rnacentral:rRNA from 1 species